rnacentral:rRNA from 1 species
CCUACGGGAGGCUGCAGUGGGGAAUAUUGCACAAGGGGGGAAACCCUGAUGCAGCGACGCCGCGUGAGUGGAGAAGUAAUUCGUUAUGUAAAGCUCUAUCAGCAGGGAAGAAAAUGACGGUACCUGAGUAAGAAGCCACGGAUAACUACGUGCCAGCAGCCGCGGUAAUACGUAGGGGGCAAGCGUUAUCCGGCUUUCCUGGGUGUAAAGGGAGCGUAGACGGCAGUGCAGGUCUGGAGUGAAAGGCGGGGGCUCCACCCCAGGACUGCUCUGGAAACUGUACGGCUGGAGUGCAGGAGAGGUAAGUGGAAUUCCUAGUGUAGCGGUGACAUGCGUAGAUAUUACGCGGAACCCCAGUGGCGAAGGCGGCUUACUGGACUGUAACUGACGUUGAGGCUCGAAAGCGUGGGGAGCAAACAGGAUUAGAUACCCGAGUAGUC